UACGUAGGUGGCAAGCGUUGUCCGGAAUUAUUGGGCGUAAAGCGCGCGCAGGCGGUCCUUUAAGUCUGAUGUGAAAGCCCACGGCUCAACCGUGGAGGGUCAUUGGAAACUGGGGGACUUGAGUGCAGAAGAGGAAAGCGGAAUUCCACGUGUAGCGGUGAAAUGCGUAGAGAUGUGGAGGAACACCAGUGGCGAAGGCGGCGUUCUGGUCUGUAACUGACGCUGAGGCGCGAAAGCGUGGGGAGCAAACAGG
rnacentral:rRNA from 1 species